GCCCUGCUUUCAACACUACAAUAUGUAUGUUGAAAUUUUUUCAUAAAUUUAUCUCUGCACAAAACUGCUUCUACAAUGCUAGACAUGUUCUGGAUAGCAUACCAUGUAUUGACCCAGGGUUCUGUGCAAUUUGUAUCCAAUUGUGCACUUUAUAACGGACAAAAUCUUCUUCUUACCGGAGUAUGUCUUUUAGUUUGAAAUUCCCUUGAAUUUGUGAUAAUCCUGUUGGAAGGAAUGGUAAACAUUUCCAACUUGGGAUAUUUGUCUUUUUUUUUACUAGGUAACUGUUAGCCCGUCUAUUCUAAUUGGUUUUAUUAUUCUAUCUAGUUUUCUAAUGCAUCAUGUCAUUUUGUUUAUAAUACUUGCAGAUCCUGGGCCCUGAUAGUGGAUGG
rnacentral:misc_RNA from 1 species